rnacentral:rRNA from 1 species
UCCACCCGUUGUGGUGCUUCCCCGCCAAUUCCUUUAAGUUUCAGCCUUGCGGCCGUACUUCCCAGGUGGCUCGCUUCACGGCUUCCCUACGGCACCGACAACGGUCGCACCGUGGCCGACACCUAGCGAGUAUCGUUUACGGCUAGGACUACCCGGGUAUCUAAUCCGGUUCGUGCCCCUAGCUUUCGUCCCUUGCCGUCAGGUCCGUUCUGGUGAGACGCCUUCGCCACUGGUGGUCCUUCAAGGAUUACAAGAUUUCACCCCUACCCCUGAAGUACCUCUCACCUCUCCCGGCCUCGAGCCAGACAGUAUCUCCUGAAAGCCUGACAGUUAAGCUGCCAGAUUUCUCAAGAGACUUAUCCGGCCGGCUACAGACCCUUUAGACCCAAUAAUAACGGUUACCACUCGAGCCGCCGGUGUUACCGCGGCGGCUGGCACCGGUCUUGCCCGGCCCUUGCUAUGAAAUGCUUUUUAGGCAUCUCGACAGCCAGAUUUGUAACCUGGCACUCGAGGUUCCCUUAUCGCUGUUGCCAGCAUUGUAAAGUUUUCGCGCCUGCCGCACCCCGUAGGGCCUGGAUUCGUGUCUCAGAAUCCAUCUCCGGGCUCUUGCUCUCACAACCCGUACCCGUCGUAGGCUAGUAGGUACGCUACACCCACUACUACCUGAUAGGCCGCAGACCCAUCCUUAGGCGCCGGAGCUUUAAAUCUCGAUGCAUUCCAGCAAUCGAGACCUAUCGGGUAUUAUACCCAGUUUCCCGGGUUUAUACCCAACCUAAGGGCAGGUUGUCCACGUGUUACUGAGCAGUUCGCCAUGUAUUGCUACAUUCGACUC